rnacentral:lncRNA from 1 species
UUCAGGAUCAAGAUGAGUGGUCUCAUCAUCCUCCACUGUCUCUUCUACAGCUUGUGAAUUUGGUAGACUGAUUCCAAGCCUCUCCAUAAUAUUUCUCAGGUUAUUAGCUCUAUCUGAGGCAGGUUGAGAUAGAUUCUUGAGUUCUUCCCAACUCCUCUCAGCAUAAUAACCUCUGGACUCUAGGAACUUAACAUCCUUUGAUA